CUCUCUCCACCCCUUAGAAAAUUUAUUUCUUUGUGUUGGUAAGAAACAAGAUGGAAGAAACUCAUUUUUUAUCAAGAUUCUUAAAUGAUUUUGGAGAAGUUGAUAGAAGGAAAAAGCUUGGUCUUGCUCUUAUGAUUCUAGUGACACUAGCUAAGGUUAAGAGCGUUAACCGAGACUGUGGGACUUCGUCGUGAGCGACGGUUUUCGUGCGCGUAGAGUGUGUUGAUUUUUGUUGGAAGCUUUGCCGAGACGAUGGAGCGCCAUCUGAGACCGUAGGCCGUGUGGACGGC